GAACCAAUGGUGUUCCAGUUGUCGCGCCAGCGGCAUUGCUGGGUAGCUAAGUUCGGAAUGGAUAACCGCUGAAAGCAUCUAAGCGGGAAGCCAACCUCGAGAUUAGAUAUCCCUUCUCGAUGGAAACAUCGGGACUAAAGACCCCUUGAAGACUACAAGGUUGAUAGGCCAGGUGUGUAAGUGUGGCGACAUAUUUAGCUAACUGGUACUAAUAGGUCGUGCGGCUUGGCCAC
rnacentral:rRNA from 1 species